CAGUCGCCGCGGUAAUACAGAGGGUGCGAGCGUUAAUAGGAUUUACUGGGCGUAAAGCGUGCGUAGGCGGCUUCUUAAGUCGGAUGUGAAAUCCCUGAGCUUAACUUAGGAAUUGCAUUCGAUACUGGGAAGCUAGAGUAUGGGAGAGGAUGGUAGAAUUCCAGGUGUAGCGGUGAAAUGCGUAGAGAUCUGGAGGAAUACCGAUGGCGAAGGCAGCCAUCUGGCCUAAUACUGACGCUGAGGUACGAAAGCAUGGGGAGCAAACAGGAUUAGAUACCCCGGUAGUCCCUGUCUCUUAUAC
rnacentral:rRNA from 1 species